rnacentral:rRNA from 1 species
CCUACGGGAGGCAGCAGUGAGGAAUAUUGGUCAAUGGACGAGCGUCUGAACCAGCCAAGUAGCGUGAAGGAUGACUGCCCUAUGGGUUGUAAACUUCUUUUGUCAAGGAAUAAAACGAGGCACGUGUGCCUUUUUGCAUGUACUUUAUGCAUAAGGCUCGGCUAAAGCCCGUCCAGCAGCCACGGUAAUACGGAGGGUCCGAGCGUUUUCCCGAUUUAUUGGGUUUAAAGGGAUCGUAGAUGGGUUUUUAAGUCAGUUGGGAAAGGUUGCGGCUUAAACGUCGAAUUGCAAUUGAAACUGGCAGUAUUGAGUACAGUGGAGGUAGGCGGAAUGCGUGGUGUAGCGGUGAAAUGCAUAGAUAUCACGAAGAACCCCGAUUGCGAAGGCAGCAUACCAAAGUGUGACUGACACUGAAGCUCGAAAGUGUGGGUAUCAAACAGGAUUAGAUACCCGGGUAGUC